rnacentral:rRNA from 2 species
UGGGGAAUCUUAGACAAUGGGGGCAACCCUGAUCUAGCCAUGCCGCGUGAGUGAUGAAGGCCUUAGGGUUGUAAAGCUCUUUCAGCUGGGAAGAUAAUGACGGUACCAGCAGAAGAAGCCCCGGCUAACUCCGUGCCAGCAGCCGCGGUAAUACGGAGGGGGCUAGCGUUGUUCGGAAUUACUGGGCGUAAAGCGCACGUAGGCGGACCAGAAAGUUGGAGGUGAAAUCCCAGGGCUCAACCUUGGAACUGCCUUCAAAACUAUUGGUCUGGAGUUCGAGAGAGGUGAGUGGAAUUCCGAGUGUAGAGGUGAAAUUCGUAGAUAUUCGGAGGAACACCAGUGGCGAAGGCGGCUCACUGGCUCGAUACUGACGCUGAGGUGCGAAAGCGUGGGGAGCAAACA